CUUUUGAGUCUCGUUGAAACACGGCCCGGUGAUGUUCACGAUGGUGCCACCUAACAUGUUGCCGCUCUCAGGCGCGAAUACGAGAGUGCCUGGUAUGAUUUUUUCAUCAAUCCUGAAGAUGUGCCGACCUGGAAAACCGUUCGCCCAUCCUCUACCAGUCAGAUCACGAAUCGUCGACCUCUGGGAGUAUGGUUUGUAUUCGUACACUUGGGUACCGUUUCCUGCAUUGAAACCGACCUGGACGCAAUAGUGAUAAAGAUUGCAACAAUAUUUUUGAAAUGACUUCCUGUAGAAUAGCAUAAUUUGUAAAUGGAAGGAACACUCAUACUUACAAAUGCUGGUACACCACCUUCUCCACCCGU